rnacentral:rRNA from 1 species
CAGCCGCCGCGGUAAUACGUAGGGUGCAAGCGUUAAUCGGAAUUACUGGGCGUAAAGCGUGCGCAGGCGGUUCUAUAAGACAGAUGUGAAAUCCCCGGGCUCAACCUGGGAACUGCAUUUGUGACUGUAGAGCUGGAGUGCGGCAGAGGGGGAUGGAAUUCCGCGUGUAGCAGUGAAAUGCGUAGAUAUGCGGAGGAACACCGAUGGCGAAGGCAAUCCCCUGGGCCUGCACUGACGCUCAUGCACGAAAGCGUGGGGAGCAAACAGGAUUAGAUACCCCUGUAGUCCCUGUCUCUUAUAC